CAACGACUGUGUGAAUUGCUAACAGAU
rnacentral:piRNA from 1 species